GUGUAAGGUGCAACAAUUAUGUUCAUUUAACACUUGAAAGUCGUAAUCUGAUUAUAUCAUCGUGUCUGUAUAUAUGCAAUAUAAAAGAACCUGAUAAAACUACCCAGGUUCUUUUUUGA
rnacentral:sRNA from 1 species